rnacentral:tRNA from 1 species
GCCGGCGUAGCUCAACGGUAGAGCACCCGCCUUGUAAGCGGAAGGCUGCAGGUUCAAAUCCUGCCGCCGGCACCA